AGUGAACGCUGGCGGUAGGCCUAACACAUGCAAGUCGAACGGCAGCACAGUAAGGGCUUGCUCUUACGGGUGGCGAGUGGCGGACGGGUGAGGAAUACAUCGGAAUCUACUUUUUCGUGGGGGAUAACGUAGGGAAACUUACGCUAAUACCGCAUACGACCUACGGGUGAAAGCAGGGGAUCUUCGGACCUUGCGCGAUUGAAUGAGCCGAUGUCGGAUUAGCUAGUUGGCGGGGUAAAGGCCCACCAAGGCGACGAUCCGUAGCUGGUCUGAGAGGAUGAUCAGCCACACUGGAACUGAGACACGGUCCAGACUCCUACGGGAGGCAGCAGUGGGGAAUAUUGGACAAUGGGCGCAAGCCUGAUCCAGCCAUACCGCGUGGGUGAAGAAGGCCUUCGGGUUGUAAAGCCCUUUUGUUGGGAAAGAAAAGCAGCAGGUUAAUACCCCGCUGUUCUGACGGUACCCAAAGAAUAAGCACCGGCUAACUUGGUG
rnacentral:rRNA from 1 species